rnacentral:lncRNA from 1 species
UGGGGCAGCCACAUCUUGGAGGCCAUUGUUCCAAUGAGAGUAGAGAAUCGGUCAAGAGAAUAGUGGAGGGUGAAAGAUAGAUGGAAAUAAAGAGGAGUAAGGGAUUUUGAGGUGAUUGUUUUGGAUUUUAGAGAUUAGGGCUUAAGGGUUUGAUGGAGAGCUAGAAUGAGAGGGUUUUGAUCAAAGAUAUACUCAGAGGAUGUGUUUACCCUAGAUUUUAAGGUAGAAAUAAGAGAUUUUUGAGCGGAUUAAGGUUUGGAUUUAAGAGG